CAUCCGCGGCCUCGCCCCUACGCCAUUCCUAUCGCCUCGCUGUGGCGGCCUCCGCCAAACACCACCACUACCAGCUGCGGGCAAGGGGCGCAGCCGUCCAGCCCCAACCUGCGAUCCUUCCUAGAUCAACGACGGAGACCCCGACCUGAAGAGCUCCACAACCAGCAGCAACUUUGUGACUUCCUCUUGACAGAGGCCAGGCCAUGGCUGCCGGGGUCCAACCCAGUGUGCGCUGCGACCUGCGAGCCCUUAAGCAGCGUGCGUGUGAGCACUGCAUCAGGCCACGCCGCCUCCCUCAAACCUAACCCCAUCACUCCAACAACGACCUCCGCCAGCAGCCCCAUCACAUCUCCAUUUUUCUCCACGGGCUAGCAAUAAUCUUAAUCUUCUGCCGGAGCUCUCCUAGCGCCGUGCACUUUCUUCCGUGGUCAACAGACAUGCUUUUCCUUUUUUUCUGUGCCUUUUUAUUUUAAUUGUUGUUAUCCCGUUGAAUUCUGCAGAGGAAGCACAAAGAGGCUUUUAGAACAGUCCAGGAGUUCAUGGGAAUCGGCUGCUGUUGCAUGCAAGAAAUAUUACCCUGUUUGCAGAACCAAUGGAUGUCAAAUAGUGCUACUGAAUUAGUGCGGAUAUUCAGAAUUUUACAAUGGAAAUUUGUAUGUACUACCACCUUCAAUAAUACAUAAUGAUACUGAAUUGCUGAUUGAACCAACCACAACUAUAUU
rnacentral:lncRNA from 1 species